rnacentral:rRNA from 1 species
UACGAAGGGGGCUAGCGUUGCUCGGAAUCACUGGGCGUAAAGGGUGCGUAGGCGGGUCUUUAAGUCAGGGGUGAAAUCCUGGAGCUCAACUCCAGAACUGCCUUUUGAUACUGAGGAUCUUGAGUUCGGGGAGAGGUGAGUGGAACUGCGAGUGUAGAGGUGAAAUUUCGUAGAUAUUCGCAAGAACACCAGUGGCGAAGGCGGCUCACUGGCCCGAUACUGACGCUGAGGCAC